rnacentral:misc_RNA from 1 species
GUGAAUCAUCGAAUUUUUGAACGCAAAUUGCACUCUCUGGUAUUCCGGAGAGUAUGCCUGUUUGAGGGUCAGUAUAAUCAAAAUCUGAGCGAUUCCUUUUGGGUGAAGCACCGGAGUUUGUGUCAUCUUAACUCUUUCAGAGACCUAAAAUUAACCUUCUUUUUUUUGCUCACUCUUAGACGUACAUAAUUUUUUUUAUACGUAUACCUUCGUCGCA